UGGGGAAUAUUGGACAAUGGGGGCAACCCUGAUCCAGCAAUGCCGCGUGAGUGAUGAAGGCCUUAGGGUUGUAAAGCUCUUUUACCGGGGACGCUGAUGACGGUACCCGGAGAAUAAGCCCCGGCUAACUUCGUGCCAGCAGCCGCGGUAAUACGAAGGGGGCGAGCGUUGUUCGGAGUUACUGGGCGUAAAGGGCGCGUAGGCGGCGAUCCAAGUUAGGCGUGAAAGCCCCGGGCUUAACCUGGGAAUUGCGCUUAAGACUGGAUUGCUUGAGUGCGGGAGAGGUGAGUGGAAUUCCCAGUGUAGAGGUGAAAUUCGUAGAUAUUGGGAAGAACACCAGUGGCGAAGGCGGCUCACUGGCCCGCAACUGACGCUGAGGCGCGAAAGCGUGGGGAGCAAAC
rnacentral:rRNA from 1 species